UGGUUGAUCCUGCCAGGGGCGACCGCUAUUGGAGUUCGAUUAAGCCAUGCGAGUAGAAAGAAAUUAGAUUCUUUGCAUACUGCUCAGUAACACGUGGAUAACCUGCCCUGUGCUGGAGGAUAAUCUUGGGAAACUGAGCAUAAUACUCCAUAGACCACUACGCCUGGAACGGUGAGUGGUUCAAAGCUCUGGCGGCACAGGAUGGGUCUGCGGCGUAUCAGGUUGUAGGGGGUGUAAUGGACCCCCUAGCCCUCGACGCGUACGGGUUGUGGGAGCAAUAGCCCGGAGACGGAUUCUGAGACACGAAUCCGGACCCUACGGGGUGCAGCAGGCGCGAAAACUUCACACUGCAGGCAACUGUGAUGAGGGAACUCCAAGUGACUGCACAAUGUGUAGCCUUUUCUUGACUGUUAAUAAGUCUUGGAAUAAGGGCUGGGAAAGACCGGUGCCAGCCGCCGCGGUAAUACCGGCAGCUCGAGUGGUCGUCGCUUUUAUUGGGCCUAAAACGUCCGUAGCCUGUUCAGUAAACCCGUGGGUAAAUCAACCAGCUUAACUGGUUGAAUUCUGCGGAGA
rnacentral:rRNA from 1 species